AAAUGCGAUAAGUAGUGUGAAUUGCAGAAUUCAGUGAAUCAUCGAAUCUUUGAACGCACAUUGCGCCCCUUGGUAUUCCAUGGGGCAUGCCUGUUCGAGCGUCAUUUGUACCCUCAAGCUCUGCUUGGUGUUGGGUGUUUGUCCCGUCUCCGCGCGUGGACUCGCCCCAAAGCGAUUGGCAGCCGGCGUACUGGUCCCGGAGCGCAGCACAUGUCGCGCAAACGAGUGCCUUGGUACGGCGGCGUCCAUAAGCCCCUCUCUCACGCUCUUGACCUCGGAUCAGGUAGGGAUACCCGCUGAACUUAAGC
rnacentral:misc_RNA from 1 species